rnacentral:rRNA from 1 species
CGCGUAGGCGGGUGUUUAAGUCAGAGGUCAAAUCCCGGGGCUCAACCUCGGAACUGCCUUUGAUACUGGGCACCUAGAGUGCGGGAGAGGUGUGUGGAACUCCGAGUGUAGAGGUGAAAUUCGUAGAUAUUCGGAAGAACACCAGUGGCGAAGGCGACACACUGGCCCGUUACUGACGCUGAGGCGCGAAAGCGUGGGGAGCAAACAGGAUUAGAUACCCUGGUAGUCCACGCCGUAAACGAUGAGUGCUAGUUGUCGGCAUGCAUGCAUGUCGGUGACGCGGCUAACGCAUUAAGCACUCCGCCUGGGGAGUACGGUCGCAAGAUUAAA